rnacentral:pre_miRNA from 1 species
CAACUACUCCCUCUGUCCCAAAUUUCUUGUCUUAGAUUUGUCUAGAUACGGAUGUAUCUAAUACUAAAAUGUGACUUGAUACAUCCGUAUCUAGACAAAUCUAAGACAAUAAUUUUGGGACGGAGAGAGUACUUU